UACGUAGGGUGCAAGCGUUGUCCGGAAUUAUUGGGCGUAAAGAGCUCGUAGGCGGUUUGUUGCGUCGGCUGUGAAAUCCCGAGGCUCAACCUCGGGUCUGCAGUCGAUACGAGCAAACUAGAGUGUUGCAGGGGAGACUGGAAUUCCUGGUGUAGCGGUGAAAUGCGUAGAUAUUGGGAGGAACACCAGUGGCGAAGGCGGCUCACUGGACCGGUUCUGACGCUGAGGCGCGAAAGCGUGGGGAGCAAACGGG
rnacentral:rRNA from 1 species